rnacentral:lncRNA from 1 species
CAAAAAUGCUUAGCCCUGAAACCCGGGCGUUACAAAAUGGUUUAGGAACCGUAAACUCCAUUUAGGAGUGAAAUGGUGCCCUAAUCCCUUCCAUAGACAUAUACUUCAUGUAGAAAAGCUUCUAGGGACUUUUAAGGCUUCAAAUCAUCAAAUGGUAAAAAGAGGAGGAGCUUACAGCCGUAAAAUCAAGGUUUUACGACCGUAAACUCAUUUGUUGAUGACCAUAAAAGCAUAAACUCCAUGAUGGAGUUUUCCUUGAACCCCAAGCAUACUAGCCAUGUCCUACAACACUUAGAUGCAAUCCUUGGGACUUAUAACACUUAUAUAAUGUGUUUAGCAUGUCCUAGGAUGUCUUAACUAUGUUAAUUAGUGUUUAAAGACUAAUUGGAUACAUAUAUGUGAUAUUAUAUGUCAACUAGGAUCCUUGUGUGUGUUCAAGACUUCACUUGACACCUAGCAAUCCUGUUUCANCCUACAUCUUCAGUUCAUCCAUACCACUCACUACAGGUGAGUUCAUACCCCUUAAUAAUUGGUUUAAAUUUUUUUAAAUGCUUUUAUGGGGGGGAAUACAAGUUGAAUACUUAUAGUUAUUAUAUCAAUCACAUGUGAUUAAUAACUACCAAACCAGUAGUUUCUUACUGUUCAAACUGUUUACUAAACUGUUUUACAAAAUCUUAUACUUGUCAAAUACUUUUACUUAAACUCUUUUAUACUUAUUGUCAAAUGCAUGCCUAUGUAUGUAUAGUUAUAUAUGUAAUGUUUAAAGGGCUUAGGAAGGCUAGCUCGCUUUAUCUCCUUUUCCUCGUUGGGAUGUGGCUUUAGGGCAUCAGUUAUUCGUCCGAAGGUCGUCUAUCUAUUAGUUAUAUAUUAUGUAUACAUAUAUAGACAUAAAAGUUCUUUCAACCAGUUCCAUACCUUUGGGUAGCAAGGGUUUACAAUCAUGAUCAUACAUUACUAGUAAGCUACCAUAGGGGUAGUUUAGGAAGAUACUAAAACUAUUACUAGAACAAUGAAACAUACAAUGAGUCAGUUCAUUCAUGAGUCAAUACGGGUAGUACACACAAUUCAUUACUAUUCAUGCUAGAUAGAGAGAGAACACACAUUACAGCUAGCACACGCAGAACAUUUCAGUACAUACAGGCUAGACAGAGAAAGAGUACACUUUACAGUUAGCACAUUCAUUUCAUAUACAUUUAUGUAGUUAUGUGAACCAUUAAAUGGGUCAUGGCACUUCCUACCAUGACCGUUUUUGUAUCCAGAAUCUCCUUAAUUGGGGAGCAUAUGAGAUUGCGUAUAGAUCUAUACUGGAUUGACUAUCCUACACCUUGCUGCUCGCUACAAUGGGACUUGCAAGUCUACGGGUGCCAAAUGUCAUUUCUUACGGCGUAUUAAAUCGUCGUUUUAGUAGAGUCGGUAGCAGGAUACAGGUCGAUCACAUGUUACUUUAAAUAUCAUUUGGUUUAAGGUAGUUAGUACAACAGUAGUUACUUAUUACAAAUACUACGGUACUAUGAUUUUUCCCAUUACAUUCACUUCGUGAAUAUUCACACGAUGCACGGUAAUGUAAAAACUAUAUUUUUGGUUAAUGAUAGUCAGAAUUGGGAAAAUACACACUCUUACAAGAGACACACACCGAUACUAGAUGCCUUGGUAGAAUGCUAAAAUUAGUAGAAAACCUAGGGUUUUCUAGGAGAGUCCAAAAAUUUUACAAAACACCUUACAAAACAUUUUACAAAUGCUUUCAUACAAACACACACACUAAUAUACUUAUGAUCUCACCAACUUUAAGCUGAUACUCGCUUUCAAAAUAACUUGUAUUCUCAGGUCACCAAUAGACAGGUACAGGUGCCAGGUUUUGAGAAGAUGGAGUUCGUUCAAGACUCGUCUUUUAUUUUGAUAUGUAUAUUUUGGUGUCUAUAUAACUUGACAGAACACAAUUGUAUGAAAUUAUAUUAUUAAUGCAAUGGAUGAUGUUGUUGCUUGUUUACUACUAUUCAUUGUUGUGAUACUGUACAUGACGUCCUCCGCCCCAGAACGUUUCCGCCGUUCAUGGUUUUGGGCUGUGACAGAUUGGUAUCAGAGCAUUGUUUAUAGUGAAUUGAGUACAUCAACCCAUAAAAGAUAUACUAACUACAAAUACAAUGGGAUUAAAAUACUUUGACCAAGAGUUUAUACUUUAAAUAAUAAAAUAUUUAAUUAAGUGUACGUGCCUGCAUUCAUACUAAAAUCAGUGUCACUAAGACAGUACAAAAGUAUUACGAUUGUUGGGUAACACAAGUAGAGUUAGAGACAUAUAGUCAAAACUGGGAAUAUAUAGCCUGAUCAACUAUAUUAUCCGAGGGUUGGCUAGCAUGUGCCUAAGUGUGGUUGUGAGGUUGCAACAAGUCUAAAAACUUACCCACAAUACCACAAUGAGAACAAUAGAACUUAAACCUAAAAUACUAUAGGAGUAUUUUGCAUUACUAUAAGUUACUUAUGUGCUAGAUUCUUAUACCUCUCUUCUCGCGUAGAUUUAAUGGCUGGAUUGCACCUUGCCGGAGACCCGUACUAUCCCAACCACGGAAAUGCAGGAUGGCUGGAUGAAGAACAAGAAGAUGAUCACCCAAUUCCUUUGGAUGAUCAUGAAGAUGAAGGCUUUUCUAAUGGUUCUGACUCAGAGCCAGAAGUCAACAACCUGCCCCCAGCUGAUCAAAACCCAAACCCUCGUCCAACAUUUCAAGGACCCACACCUCUGUGGGCCACAAACUUGAAUAGAUGGAGUCAGGAACAAGGUCAAUCCAUUCCCUACAAUGGAGAUUGAAGUUUCUACAACCUCACUGAGGGAAGUUCUGCUGACAGAGUCCUACCAAUCAUAGUUCGUAGGAUUGCUCGGAACACAAAGCAGGGUCGAGCAGCUAUCGACCGAGUCAUGGAGAUUGACGCCAACUCUGGCGUUAACACUGUCCGCAUUCGCCAGCUAGAGUCUGCUCAUGAAAGGACUCUGGUCCACAAUGCAGCUCUUUAGAGGGAACUCACUGAAACCCAAGCUGAAGUCAGAGAACUUCGGGCUCAGCAAGCAAGAGCUGAUAGGCAUACGAGGGACAUAGAACAUCUCCUGUCGGGAUCAAGAACUCACUAUGGUAGUUCUCGUCGCCGAUAGAUUCUCAUAAACUUCUCUCUUUUGGAUAUAACCUAGUUAUGUAAAACUCUGGUCUAAUUCUCUAUCUUUGUAAAUUUUAGGCCUGUUAGGUUUUAAUGCUGUCGAAAUUUUCCCAUUUUGGUUGAUGUAAGGCCUCUUUCUGUUGGUAGUUUUUCCCGAACUUGUUACAUCUGUAAUUCCAGUAAUAUUGAUAGGUACCUAAUCUUAUGAGAAUUAUUAUUAUCCAAAUGAGGUCAUCUAUUAAUUCUAGAUCUACAUUCAAUCGUACUGUUGGGCUAUGAAGAGUUGGUCCAUGAAUCCUUUUCAUCAAUUCUUCCAUUAAAUUCUUAUCAAUGUUUUCAUCUUCAUAAACUUUUAGAUCAAAGAUGCCGCAUCGCAGGAAUCCAAGGCGAAACCCUAAUAACGAAACACCACCUCCUCAACCACCUACUCCUCAGUUCGAGACGACAGCUCUAAAUGCUGCGGUAGCUGCAGCUGUGGCUACAAUCAUGGCUCAAUAUCAUUCAUCAGGUUCCACUGGAAGAGGAACCCCAGUCCUAUCUACUCAUGGUGAAAUCCCUGUGCCCUUGAAAGUGCUCCUACAAGGACUUCACCAACUGCAAGCUCUUGUCCUUCAACGGGACUGGCGGAGUCAUUGCCCUCUCGCAAUGGUUCGAGAAAACCGAAUCGGUUUUUGAAAUCUGCUCUUGUCCCGACGAGAGCAAGGUGAAGUUUGCUGCUUGCACCUUUGAAACGAAAGUGCUAACAUGGUGGAAUAGCCAUGUUAAGUCACUAUCUCUAAUAGUGGCUAAUGCUUUGGGCUGGGAAACUUUGAAAGACCUCAUGAUUGAGGAGUAUUGCCCGAGCGGCGAGAUCCAGAAGCUGGAGGAAGAACUGUGGAGCCUAACCAUGAAGGGCUCCAAUGUAGUCACUUACACCACCUGGUUCUGUGAACUGGUGGCCCUCUGUCCUAACAUGGUUCCUACAGAGGGAAAGAAAAUCGAGAGGUAUAUAUGGGGGCUGAUGCCACCAUACCAAGGAAAUGUAUUGGCAUCACACCCACUACAUUUGAUAGUUCCAAACGACUAGCACAGCGUCUCAUAGACCAUGGGGUUCGUACCCCGGCCACAACGACUACCCUAGCCAUCUCAGAACCUACAAGAACCGCUGAUUCCAAGCGGAAGUUUUGGGAUGACAAAAAGAAGGCUAAGGCUGCCAAAAAGAGGUAGGUCGUGGCAGUACAUGCUGCGACAGCACCUGCUGCUGCUGAUCCAGUAAAGCAAUACGCUGGAAGUUUGCCCAAAUGCAACCAAUGCAACUUCCAUCAUGUCGGUGCCUUUCGGGAGAUGCAGUGUCUGAACUGCAACGGGAAGGGGCACACUGCCUGUUUUCAUAAAGCUCCGACGAAGCCAAUCAACCAAGCCCCCGGUGAUGGAGUGGGCCAAACUUGAUAUAGAUGUGGCGAGGUGGGCCACUUCAAAAGAAACUGCCCGAAGGCAGGGUUUGCCGGUGGAGCGGCAAGAGUUCUGGCCAUAGGCCAUGAGGAAGCGGUUGCCGACCCCACAAUGGUCACUGGUAUGUUCCUCCUCAAUAACUCUUAUGCAUGCAUUCUAUUUGAUAGUGGAGCGGAGAGGAGUUUCGUGAACAAAAAAUUUGCUCAUUUACUUAGGCAAAAACCACGAGCACUUAAUGAACUGUUCACUGUAGAAAUGGCUAAUGGAAAGACAGAGAGCACUAGCAGCAUAUUCAUAGGGUGUACCCUAACUUUAGAUAGCCAUUCAUUUUCGAUCGAUCUCAUGUCGAUCUCAAUUAAAAGUUUCGACGUCAUUAUCGGCAUGGAUUGGUUGAGUAUUCAUCGUGCCGACAUCAUGUGUUACGAAAAGGUUGUUCGCCUUAAUCUACUGUCUGGCGAAAACCUAGUAGUUUAUGGCGACAAACCCGACAUAAACCUUCGUAUCAUCUCGACCAUUCAAGCUCAAAAAUUAUUGCGGAAGGAAUGUAGAGCAUUCCUUGCUCAUGUGGUCGAUGUGAGCCAAGAAACGAAGGACAUUCAGAACAUUCCAAUAGUACUAGACUUUCCUGAAAUUUUUCCAGAAGAACUCCCAAGAUUACCUCCGCAACAUCAAGUCGAGUUCCGAAUCGAAUUAGUUCAAGGGGCUACCCCCGUAGCCAAAUCGCCCUAUCGUCUAGCGCCUGCAGAGAUGCAAGAACUAUCCUGUCAACUUAACGAACCGCUCAACAAGGGCUUUAUAAGGCCAAGCUUCUCACCAUGGGGAGCUCCAGUUUUUUUCGUCAAGAAGAAAGACAGAUCGUUUCGUAUGUGCACCGACUACAGGGAGCUCAACAAGCUGACCGUAAAAAAUCGUUAUCCUUUGCCUAGGAUCGACGAUUUAUUUGACCAACUUCAAGGGGCCAAUUUCUUUUCGAAAAUGAACUUGAGAUCUGGAUAUCACCAACUGCGAGUGCUAGGGGAGGAUGUUCCAAAGACAGCCUUCCGAACUCGUUAUGGACACUACGAAUUUGUAGUGAUGCCGUUCGGAUGACAAACACACCCACUGUAUUCAUGGACUUAAUGAAUAGGGUGUGUCAUCCUUACUUGGAUCAAUUCGUCAUCGUCUUCAUCGAUGACAUACUUAUCUACUCUCAUAGUAAGGAGGAGCAUAGUCAACACCUACGACAAGUCCUCGAAACAUUACGUUCGGAGAAGCUCUAUGCAAUGUUUUCGAAAUGCGAAUUCUGGAUUCGACGAGUCGAAUUCUUAGGGCACGUGGUUAGCGAAGAGUGAAUACACGUGGACCCUUCCAAAAUCAAAGCCAUUGAGAACUGGUCAGCACCAAAGACGCCUACAGAAAUUCGUCAAUUUCUCGGCCUCGCUGGCUACUAUCGCAGGUUCAUUCAGAACUUCUCCUGUAUUGCGAAACCUCUUACAACACUGACCCAGAAGGGCGUGGCCUUUGACUGGGAAGAGAAGCAGGAGAGAGCGUUUCAAACGCUCAAAUGAGCCUUGUCCACCGCACCAAUACUAUCCCUCCCUGAAGGAAUAGAAGACUUUGUUGUCUAUUGCGAUGCGUCGAAUCAAGGGCUCGGAUGUGUUCUGAUGCAGCAAGGUAAGGUCGUCGCCUAUGCCUCUAGACAGCUGAAGACACAUGAGGUCAACUAUACGACCCACAAUCUUGAACUGGGAGCAGUUGUGUUUGCUCUGAAGAUAUGGAGACAUUACUUGUACGAUACGAAAAGCACUAUCCUUACAGACCACAAAAGCUGACAACACAUAUUUGACAAGAAGGAGCUCAACAUGAGACAACGAUGGUGGGUCGAACUACUCAGUGAUUAUGAAUGCAAAAUUCGUUAUCAUCCGGGUAAAGCCAACGUAGUAGCUGACGCCUUAAGUUGGAAGGAAUAUUCUGGUCGUAGAGUCAAAUCAUUGACUAUGACUAUCCAUUCGCACUUGUCCACACAAAUUAAUGCGGCUCAUCUCGAUGCUUUGAAGCCUGAAAACAUGGUGGGUGAAUCCCUGAGAGGGAUGGAUAAGAACUUGGAGGAUAAGGGUAACGGAGCUUAUUAUUUCAUGGACCAGAUCUGGACCCUGAAACUAGGUGGUUUUAGAGACUUGGUCAUGAACAAGGUGCACAACACUCGUUAUUCCAUGCACCCGGUUUAGAUAAGAUGUAUCUAGAUCUAAAAAAGUUAUACUGGUGGCCUAACAUGAAAGCAGAGAUUGCUACCUUUGUGAGUAAAUUCCUUACUUGCGCAAAGGUCAAGGUCGAAUACCAAAAACCCUACGGUCUACUACAACAGCCCGAGAUAUCGGAAUGGAAGUGGGAGCGGAUAACUAUGGAUUUCAUAACCAAGUUGCCCAAGACAAUGGGUGGACUUGAUACCAUAUGGGUCAUCGUCGAUAGACUGACCAAGUCUGCACACUUCCUGCCGAUCAAAGAAACAGACAAGAUGGAGAAACUUACAAGAACUUACAUUAGGGAGAUUGUACGACUGCACGGUGCUCCCUUAUCCAUUAUCUCGGAUAGAGAUAGUAGAUUCACUUCGAGAUUCUGGCAGUCGUUACAAAGUUCCUUAGGAACUAGGCUGGACAUGAGUACACCCUACCAUCCAUAGACCGACGGGCAAAGUGAGAGAACUAUCCAAACCUUGGAAGAUAUGUUGCGAGCCUGUGUGAUCGACUUUGGGAAAGCAUAGGAUACUCAUUUACCCCUUGUCGAAUUUUCCUACAACAACAGUUAUCACACGAGCAUAAAGGCUGCUCCAUUCGAGGCCCUCUAUGGCCGAAAGUGCAGAUCCCCUCUGUGCUGGGCUGAGGUGGGUGAUACCCAGUUAGCUAAAGGACGAGUUCCUGACAACACUCUCACAGGUCCGAAGAUCAUACGGGAAACGACGGAGAAGACCAUUCAGAUCCGUGAACGAUUGAAAGCCUCCAGAGACCGACAGAAAAGCUACGCUGAUAAACAUAGGAAACCUUUGGAAUUCCAGGUGGGUGACCGGGUCCUGUUGAAGGUCUCCCCCUGGAAAGAGUUGAUACGCUUCAGAAAGCGUGGAAAGCUAAAUCCAAGGUACAUAGGGCCUUUCGAGAUUCUCGCAAGAAUCGGCCGUGUAGCUUACAAACUUAACUUAUCGUGCGAACUCAGUAACGUACAUUCUACCUUCCACGUAUCGAACUUGAAAAAGUGUCUGUCCGACGAGACUCUUGUUAUCCCACUCGACGAGAUCGAUCUGAACGAGAGUCUCAACUUCGUGGAAGAAACAGUAGAGAUCAUGGACCGAGAGGUCAAGCAAACGAAGCAAAGUCGUAUCCCGAUAGUGAAGGUUCGCUGGAACGCCAAGCGAGGACCGGAAUUCACUUGGGAGCGUGAGGAUCAGAUGAAACUGAAAUAUCCUCGUCUUUUUACUUAGUUAUAUGUAACUACUUAAUUGCUUACAACUCUAAUUUUAGGACGAAAUUCCUUCUAAGGAGGGGAUGAUGUGACAACCCGGAAUUUCUAUUUUGUACAACAUAUCAAGUCAAUAGAAGUCAGAAUAGUUGCUGUUAAUUUUCAGACUUUUUAGAAUAAGUUUGAGUAUUUCAGGAUUAACACUUUAAGAGAUAUAAGGAGAGAGGAUGCACUAGGGUUUAUUGUGCAACACUUUUAUUCCAAAACUCCAUGAAAUUAGAGUUUACUGCCUGAAUAAAAUAUUUACAGCCAAAAACCCUAAAUUUGGGAGUAUAUAUAUGACAAUUAAUCAUUAUUUACACUUUUUCCAAAUCUCAAGAUCCAAAUCCAUUUCUCUCUCAAGUAUCAUCCAAAAGUUUUUCAAGAUCUUCAAUCUAGUAAGUGUUCUAGCCUUCUUAAGUGAUUAUAUGACUUAAUCUAGUGUUUUAACACACUUCUAACCAUGAAAUCAUUCCAAAAGGUUGAUUCUUCAAUUUUCACCAAGAACACACACUAGUGUUCUUGGACUUUUAGCUCAUUUCAAGCUUCUAUAUAGUAAGUACUUAUAUCCUAGAGUUGUAUAAAGCUUGUUACAUUCCCUUACAUCAAGAAAUCGUCCCAAGAACACCAAGAACAAGGUGUUUACAGUCCAAGAAGUUCUUGGACCGUAAACCCCAAAUAAAGGUGCCAAAGUGUGCCCAAGUCCUUCACAAGCCUUAGAAAAAUGUCUAAAUCCUUUCCUUGUUGAGAAAAGGACUUGAAAAACCCCAAAAGACCAUAAACCAUAUGAGUUUACGGUAGUAAACUCAAAGGAAAAUGGUUUAGGAACCGUAAACUCCAUUUACGAGUGAAAUGGUGCCCUAAUCCCUUCCAAAGACACAUACUUCAAGUAGAAAAGCUUCUAGGGACUUUUAAGGCUUCAAAUCAUCAAAUGGUCAAAAGAGGAGGAGAUUACGGCCGUAAACUCAAGGUUUUACGACCGUAAACUCAUUUGUUGAUGACCAUAAAACCAUAAACUCCAUGAUGGAGUUUUCCUUGAACCACAAGCACACCAUCCAUGUCCUACAACACUUAGAUGCAAUCCUUGGGACUUAUAACACUUAUAUAAGGUGUUUAGCAUGUCCUAGGGUGUCUUAACUUUGUUUAUUAGUUGUUUAGAGACUAAUU